rnacentral:rRNA from 1 species
UACGUAGGUGGCAAGCGUUGUCCGGAUUUACUGGGCGUAAAGAGCGCGCAGGCGGUCGUGCAAGUCGCGUGUGAAAGCCCCCCGGCUCAACUGGGGAGGGUCACGCGAUACUGGUCGACUCGAAGGCAGGAGAGGGUAGUGGAAUUCCCGGUGUAGUGGUGAAAUGCGUAGAUAUCGGGAGGAACACCAGUGGCGAAGGCGACUACCUGGCCUGUUCUUGACGCUGAGGCGCGAAAGCUAGGGGAGCAAACGGGG